rnacentral:piRNA from 1 species
UAUGCUUAGACAUGAAGGCAGCCUGCCCUG